ACCUGCCUCUGCCUCCCAAGUGCUGGGAUUAAAGGCAUGUGCCACCACUGCUAAGCGAGCAAGGAUUUCUUAGAUGGGCUGCUCCAACCUACCCCAGGAUUCCAAGACAAGAAAGGCUGGGGAGAGGGACACUGGAGAGUUACAGGAGGAGGAGACUGAAAACUCUAUGGGAGCCCUGUUGCCUACUGACGUUUUUCCUGGCAUCUGCCCUGUGGCCUGGGCCCAGUGCCCAUGGAAGAAGGAGUUGGUUCGGGUUACAGUCAGGCCCACAGUCCAGAACAGGGGAGGAGCCUGUGUUUAGGGGUGGGGGGCCCCAAGGCAAAGAGUCCCCUCAAGCACUGUGGAGCAUUAGGUUUUGAACGACUCCAUUUAGAAGCAGAAGAAAAGCUCUUGGGAAAUAGGAGGUCUCUGGCUGGCUUCCCAGGAGAACAGCAAGUUCCAGCCAACUGGAGCUCCGGAAGCAGGGAAUUUGUGGGGAGGAAUGGGGCACGGAGCAAGCAGACAUCCUGACCACAGUUCCCCUGGAAGAGCUUUGCUCUCAAGUGAGCAUGUUUCUGGAAAUGGGGAGUGUUUGUCCUCCCAGGUUGUUAUGCACACAGCCAGGGUAUUGUGAACCUAGUCAUUCCCUGGUGUGCAUGUUUUCAGAAGAGGAGUAUUAUAAGCUAUUCAUAGUUCUGCCUGAACAUUCUUUGGAGUAACGGGAUAGACUUCAGCUCCACCUCUUCCUGUCUGAGGGCAGGAAUGGGCCUGCCCUGCUGUCUCCAGGACAGGCUGGGAAAUCACUCUUCUGGACAGCUCCCUUUCAGCCCACCAGAGCCGGGACCCGACAAGCCUCUAGGGGCUUUCGGGCUGUCAGGUGUAAAGCAAGACUCCAGCCAUUUGUUAACCUACGACGGAGUGGGAGGGGGAACAGGGAUGCUGGCAUCUCACAACUGCUUUGUCUUGAGACCUCCCUCACAUUGGCACCCAGAACCAAAGAGCUCCUUAUUCAAGGAUACUACUAGGACUGGAAUCCCUGCAGACCUGGAGAACCCACAUCAGGACAAAGAGACAGGGGUCAAAGGGCACUCCCGCAGAAGGCAUCGUGAGAGUAGCACUGGUGACUGGGGGUGAAUGGGUAUGGUUGGGAAAGCUUGAUGCAUUCCACGGGAAAGGUGGGGCUGUGUAACCCCUCCCACCCAGCAACUCCACUCCUCUUUAAUACCACACAGCACCAGUCCUUCAUGCCUUUUGUCUUAAACUUACUUUACAUUCUUACAUAUGAAAAAAAGACCCCAAAUAACUCGUGUUAGGUGGGUUAAGCUGGUCAAUACUUGCCAUCUUAGUAGUGAAAAUUAAUGUGAAAGGUAAUAAACUCAUGCACACUAAUAUGAGUAAAAUGUUUAUGGGGGAAAAAACCCUCAACUCCCUAUUUUCCAAAACAAAUAAUAGGCAGAACUUGGUGGGCAAGGGGCUCUGUCUGGCAGCAGCCAGCUGGCCUCACCCUGCAUGGCUCUGCUGGGAUACAGCUGCAGGGGAACUCCCUGGGGGGGACUGCAGGGGAACUUCACUUGGGAGGGAAUGGAACUAAAAAUGACAACCCUGCUGUACAUUAGCAAAAUAGCCCUGACUUCACAGACACUUCUGAGGAUGUCAGGGUCCGCAGAGGCCCGUGACACACCUGACCAUAUUGUUCUGGGGACGAUUGUGGAAGGAACUAUGGACUUCAGAAGACAUUGAGUGUUGAGAGCACAUACUUCUGUAGAAGUUUGGGAGAUGAGGAAGUUAAGAGCAGUGCAGAUGGCGGAGUCCUGGUUUGUGACGCGUCAGAGGGAUGCAAAAACUCUACGGGGCUAUUUGUGUGAAGAAUCUAUGGUGUCUGGCCAGGUAGAGUUGAAGAAUCAGCUGUGAUUGACAGGAGACCAGCUGGAGAGAUGGCUCAGUGGUGGCACUGACUGCUCUUCCAAAGGUCCUGAGUUCCAAUCCCACAACCACAUGGUGGAUCACAACCAUCCGUAAUGAGAUCUGAUGCCCUCUUCUGGGGUGUCUGAAGACAGCUACAAUGUGCUUACAUAUAAUAAAUAAAUAAAUCUUAAAAAAAAAAAAACAACAACCAGAACUACUAAAGUAAGACCUUUGCUUGGCUAAUUGAAAAUGGUCCACUGGGGCGGAGGAAUCAGCGGUGAUUAAGAAGAGACCAGCAUCACUGAGGUGAAGUCUUCUGGGAAGUGUUUCCUCAGGGUCAGCACACAGAAGCUGUGGUCCUGAGGUGGCCAAGGUUGUACCUCAUCUGGCAGCCAAGCUCGAUAGCAUAAGAGUCACCCAGGCUUUGAAGGCAUGAAGGGGUCAUGGGGAGCAGCUGAGUCUUGGCAUGUGUGGCAGGGCUGGAGGCCCUGAACAGAGCCCAGGAGAGGCUGUUGGUAAAAGUUGAAGCAAGAGACCCAAGCAGCUUUGGAGAUGCCAGUACCAUGGGAUGGCCACGACUGAUGGCCACAACUGAAUCCGUGGAGUGGAGCCAGUCACAGACUAAAAGAUAGGCUGUCUGUGCUGCAGAGGGCCGAGCUGGAGGAGUGACCCAAGUCCCUUGGAGGAGCCCAGAAGAUGGUUGAGUGAAUCAUUUGUACUGUUGGAGUUUAGUUUUGCUUUGUUAACAUGUGACUGGGCUCUGGUUCUCCCCUCUUGAAAUAAGAAACUACUUAAUUGAGUUUUUGAUUUGACAGGAGCCCAACAGUUGAGAAACUUUGAAUCUUAAAAGACUUUGGAUUUUUAAAGAGACAGCCUAUUUUAAAGAAACUGAAUUUUAAAUCUUUGAAUGUUUAAUGACUGGGAGCUUUUAAACAUCGGGAUGUUUAUAUUGUAAGGUUGAUAUUUAUAUGUGAUCUUGGGAGAGGACAAGAAAGGGAGGAUUAUGACUUAACAGUGAUGUGUUUGUGUCAAGGUGACAAAGGGACAAUUGUAUUGGCUAGUUUUAUGUCACCUCAACACAGACUAGAGUUAUCUGAAAGAAGGGAAUCUCAAAUGAGAAAACGUCUUCAUAAAUUCUAGCUGCAGGGCAUUUUCUUAAUUAAUUAUUGACGUGGGAGGGCCCAGCCCAUUGUAGGUGGUGUCAUCCCUGAGCUGGUGGUCCUGAGUUCUAUAAGAAAGCACUCACGAGGAGCAAGCCAGCAAGCAGCACUCCUCCGUGGCCUCAGAAUCAACUCCUGCCUCCAGGUUCCUGCCCUGGUUUGAGUUCCUGACCUGACUUCUUCCCGUCAUGAACAGUGAUGCGGAAGACUAAGCCAAAUAAACUCUGUCCUCUCCAAGUUGGUUGUGUCAUGGUGUUUCAUCACAGCAACAGAAACUGUGACUGAGACUUGGACAAUACUUUGAGAACUGCUAUUCCUGGAGAACACAAACAAACAAACAAAACCAAAUCCACAUUUCUAUUCCAGCAGAUAAAUGUGUAUUACGUCAGGUUCAAGUUCUAUAGAGAAAGAGGAAUUAAAGUAGAUACUGAGAGUUUUCUCUUCUUAUCCUCUCUUUAGAGGAUGAUUGAAAUUUCUAAUGUCUAAUUGUUAGAGAAUCAUAUUCAGGAUUUUUUUUUUUUUUUUUUUGAGACAGGGUUUGUCUUUAUAGCCCUGGCUGUCCUGGAAUUCACUUUGUAGACCAGGCUGGCCUCGAACUCAGGAAUUUUUUAAAGAUGAUAGAGGAUAUCAAAUUACUAUGACAUUUAAAUUUCAUUGAGACACACUCAAAUGAGUGUGUGUAAGUUUUAAAAAAUGAUCACACACACACACACACACACACACACACACACACACCACACUACUACCAAUUCCCUGGCUUUUUGGAAUGUAACCUUUGACAGCCAUUUAAACUGCACAUGGGCAUUCUUAACCACCAACAAAGCAUUCAGGAGUGGCUCAGGAUUCUUAAAAGACUCUGUAAAUAAAACACCUUGAUGACUCUUGAA